rnacentral:rRNA from 1 species
CCUACGGGAGGCAGCAGUGGGGAAUAUUGGACAAUGGGCGAAAGCCUGAUCCAGCCAUGCCGCGUGAAGGAUUAAGGUCCUCUGGAUUGUAAACUUCUUUUAUAAGGGACGAAAAAAGGUCUUUCUAGAUCGUCUGACGGUACCUUAUGAAUAAGCACCGGCUAACUCCGUGCCAGCAGCCGCGGUAAUACGUAGGGUGCGAGCGUUAAUCGGAAUUACUGGGCGUAAAGCGUGCGCAGGCGGUUGUGUAAGACAGGUGUGAAAUCCCCGGGCUUAACCUGGGAACUGCGCUUGUGACUGCACGGCUAGAGUACGGCAGAGGGGGGUGGAAUUCCACGUGUAGCAGUGAAAUGCGUAGAGAUGUGGAGGAACACCGAUGGCGAAGGCAGCCCCCUGGGCCUGUACUGACGCUCAUGCACGAAAGCGUGGGGAGCAAACAGGAUUAGAUACCCUGGUAGUCCACGCCCUAAACGAUGUCGACUAGUUGUUCGGAAAGGAAACUUUCUGAGUAACGCAGCUAACGCGUGAAGUCGACCGCCUGGGGAGUACGGUCGCAAGAUUAAAACUCAAAUGAAUUGACGG